rnacentral:piRNA from 1 species
UAAUCCAGACCUUUUGAGAUGUGAAGAUC